GAGAUGCUUAAGGACAGUUGGGAGCAACCGUACAGUCAGUAAGAGAUGUUUAAGGGCAGUUGGGAGCCAGCCGUACAGUCAGUAAGAGAUGUUUAAGGGCAGUUGGGAGCAACCGUACAGUCAGUAAGAGAUGUUUAAGGGCAGUUGGGAGCAACCGUACAGUCAGUAAGAGAUGUUUAAUGGCAGUUGGGAGCAACCGUACAGUCAGUAAGAGAUGUUUAAGGGCAGUUGGGAGCAACCGUACAGUCAGUAAGAGAUGUUUAAGGGCAGUUGGGAGCGAGCCGUACAGUCAGUAAGAGAUGUUUAAGGGCAGUUGGGAGCAACCGUACAGUCAGUAAGAGAUGUUUAAGGGCAGUUGGGAGCAACCGUACAGUCAGUAAGAGAUGUUUAAGGACAGUUGGGAGCAACCGUACAGUCAGUAAGAGAUGGUUAAGGACAGUUGGGAGCAACCGUACAGUCAGUAAGAAAUGUUUAAGGACAGUUGGGAGCAACCGUACAGUCAGUAAGAGAUGUUUAAGGACAGUUGGGAGCAACCGUACAGUCAGUAAGAGAUGUUUAAGGACAGUUGGGAGCAACCGUACAGUCAGUAAGAGAUGGUUAAGGGCAGUUUCUUUCCAGCUGCAGUAACCUGAUGCCAGUGGUUGAGUGAAGGCCUCUCAGCUGACCACAGCUGUGCUCUUGCGACUGUUUAAAUCUGCAGCUGCGUUCACUUCCAGCCUAUCAAACCACAUCACAUCAACCCCAUUUAUCACCGGGGCUUCUGGGAAAUCUGACCGCUGCAUUUACAUCCAGAGGACCGGCGAGGCGAGGCCAGAAUCCAGAACCCCGUCCAGUUCCACACUGGUGGUUUGGCAUGUUGGGCCCAUUAACUACUAAUUGCACAUUCUUUGAAUUCGUGGAAACAGUUUUCCAAACAUCGAUGUCUGUGUUUCCAUUUCUGAGGAAUCCGCCUGAAACCUGACAGAUAAUCCAUCACAAUACAGCCGAGACAGUCCACAAACGUUCCCUCAGUGAAAUCCUGUUUGACAGUGAAACAGUGAUGAAGAGUCACCUGACUCCGAUGAGGAGGGAGAUCAGCAUGGAGCAGAUUGGAUCAGCGAUCAUCAGGUCGUAUUUCUGCAUCAGCAGAGCGGAGAUGAUCACACCCACACUGCCCAGAGUGUCAGCGAUGAUGUGCAGCAGGACGCCUAAAACACAGACACACACACACACACACACACACACACACACACACACACACACACACACACACACACACACACACACACACACACACACACACACACACACACACCACACA